AGCGUACACGGUGGAUGCCCUGGCAGUCAGAGGCGAUGAAGGACGUGCUAAUCUGCGAUAAGCGUCGGUAAGGUGAUAUGAACCGUUAUAACCGGCGAUUUCCGAAUGGGGAAACCCAGUGUGAUUCGUCACACUAUCAUUAACUGAAUCCAUAGGUUAAUGAGGCGAACCGGGGGAACUGAAACAUCUAAGUACCCCGAGGAAAAGAAAUCAACCGAGAUUCCCCCAGUAGCGGCGAGCGAACGGGGAGGAGCCCAGAGCCUGAAUCAGUGUGUGUGUUAGUGGAAGCGUCUGGAAAGGCGCGCGAUACAGGGUGACAGCCCCGUACACAAAAAUGCACAUAUUGUGAGCUCGAUGAGUAGGGCGGGACACGUGGUAUCCUGUCUGAAUAUGGGGGGACCAUCCUCCAAGGCUAAAUACUCCUGACUGACCGAUAGUGAACCAGUACCGUGAGGGAAAGGCGAAAAGAACCCCGGCGAGGGGAGUGAAAAAGAACCUGAAACCGUGUACGUACAAGCAGUGGGAGCACGCUUAGGCGUGUGACUGCGUACCUUUUGUAUAAUGGGUCAGCGACUUAUAUUCUGUAGCAAGGUUAACCGAAUAGGGGAGCCGAAGGGAAACCGAGUCUUAACUGGGCGUUAAGUUGCAGGGUAUAGACCCGAAACCCGGUGAUCUAGCCAUGGGCAGGUUGAAGGUUGGGUAACACUAACUGGAGGACCGAACCGACUAAUGUUGAAAAAUUAGCGGAUGACUUGUGGCUGGGGGUGAAAGGCCAAUCAAACCGGGAGAUAGCUGGUUCUCCCCGAAAGCUAUUUAGGUAGCGCCUCGUGAAUUCAUCUCCGGGGGUAGAGCACUGUUUCGGCAAGGGGGUCAUCCCGACUUACCAACCCGAUGCAAACUGCGAAUACCGGAGAAUGUUAUCACGGGAGACACACGGCGGGUGCUAACGUCCGUCGUGAAGAGGGAAACAACCCAGACCGCCAGCUAAGGUCCCAAAGUCAUGGUUAAGUGGGAAACGAUGUGGGAAGGCCCAGACAGCCAGGAUGUUGGCUUAGAAGCAGCCAUCAUUUAAAGAAAGCGUAAUAGCUCACUGGUCGAGUCGGCCUGCGCGGAAGAUGUAACGGGGCUAAACCAUGCACCGAAGCUGCGGCAGCGACGCUUAUGCGUUGUUGGGUAGGGGAGCGUUCUGUAAGCCUGCGAAGGUGUGCUGUGAGGCAUGCUGGAGGUAUCAGAAGUGCGAAUGCUGACAUAAGUAACGAUAAAGCGGGUGAAAAGCCCGCUCGCCGGAAGACCAAGGGUUCCUGUCCAACGUUAAUCGGGGCAGGGUGAGUCGACCCCUAAGGCGAGGCCGAAAGGCGUAGUCGAUGGGAAACAGGUUAAUAUUCCUGUACUUGGUGUUACUGCGAAGGGGGGACGGAGAAGGCUAUGUUGGCCGGGCGACGGUUGUCCCGGUUUAAGCGUGUAGGCUGGUUUUCCAGGCAAAUCCGGAAAAUCAAGGCUGAGGCGUGAUGACGAGGCACUACGGUGCUGAAGCAACAAAUGCCCUGCUUCCAGGAAAAGCCUCUAAGCAUCAGGUAACAUCAAAUCGUACCCCAAACCGACACAGGUGGUCAGGUAGAGAAUACCAAGGCGCUUGAGAGAACUCGGGUGAAGGAACUAGGCAAAAUGGUGCCGUAACUUCGGGAGAAGGCACGCUGAUAUGUAGGUGAAGUCCCUUGCGGAUGGAGCUGAAAUCAGUCGAAGAUACCAGCUGGCUGCAACUGUUUAUUAAAAACACAGCACUGUGCAAACACGAAAGUGGACGUAUACGGUGUGACGCCUGCCCGGUGCCGGAAGGUUAAUUGAUGGGGUCAGCGCAAGCGAAGCUCUUGAUCGAAGCCCCGGUAAACGGCGGCCGUAACUAUAACGGUCCUAAGGUAGCGAAAUUCCUUGUCGGGUAAGUUCCGACCUGCACGAAUGGCGUAAUGAUGGCCAGGCUGUCUCCACCCGAGACUCAGUGAAAUUGAACUCGCUGUGAAGAUGCAGUGUACCCGCGGCAAGACGGAAAGACCCCGUGAACCUUUACUAUAGCUUGACACUGAACAUUGAGCCUUGAUGUGUAGGAUAGGUGGGAGGCUUUGAAGUGUGGACGCCAGUCUGCAUGGAGCCGACCUUGAAAUACCACCCUUUAAUGUUUGAUGUUCUAACGUUGACCCGUAAUCCGGGUUGCGGACAGUGUCUGGUGGGUAGUUUGACUGGGGCGGUCUCCUCCUAAAGAGUAACGGAGGAGCACGAAGGUUGGCUAAUCCUGGUCGGACAUCAGGAGGUUAGUGCAAUGGCAUAAGCCAGCUUGACUGCGAGCGUGACGGCGCGAGCAGGUGCGAAAGCAGGUCAUAGUGAUCCGGUGGUUCUGAAUGGAAGGGCCAUCGCUCAACGGAUAAAAGGUACUCCGGGGAUAACAGGCUGAUACCGCCCAAGAGUUCAUAUCGACGGCGGUGUUUGGCACCUCGAUGUCGGCUCAUCACAUCCUGGGGCUGAAGUAGGUCCCAAGGGUAUGGCUGUUCGCCAUUUAAAGUGGUACGCGAGCUGGGUUUAGAACGUCGUGAGACAGUUCGGUCCCUAUCUGCCGUGGGCGCUGGAGAACUGAGGGGGGCUGCUCCUAGUACGAGAGGACCGGAGUGGACGCAUCACUGGUGUUCGGGUUGUCAUGCCAAUGGCACUGCCCGGUAGCUAAAUGCGGAAGAGAUAAGUGCUGAAAGCAUCUAAGCACGAAACUUGCCCCGAGAUGAGUUCUCCCUGACUCCUUGA
rnacentral:rRNA from 1 species